GGAGGCGAGCUCCCUGGUCAGAGCGCAUGCUUGGCAUGCAUGAGGGCCUGGGUCCAAUCCCCAGUGUCUUCG
rnacentral:tRNA from 1 species